CUCGCCUAGCCGGGACAACUUUUCCUCAUGUGAACACUUUGCCCCGGGGCAACUUUGUCCCGGGAUAAUUAAAUUUUUGGUAAAACGAUCAAAAUCGCGGAUAAAAUUACAUUUAGAGCACGUUGGAAUCCACAAAAACUUGUUACUUGAUUGAAGAUAUCAUUAGAAAUCUAUAAGUGACGAUUCUAAUAAUAUUAAAAUAAAAUUGUCGCUAAUAUCAUGUUUGAAACCAAGAAGUGUAGUAUGCUACUCAAACAAUUUGAUCUGGUCAACCAGAAACAAUGAAUUGAGCACAUUUUAUUACGGCUGAUAAUAAACUACGUUCUAUUUGUAAAUAUUAUAACAUAAAAUACGACUUGCGUUUAUCAGAAUGUUUUUUAUUUAGCACUAUUUCACCGUUUCACGUAGGCGGGAAUAUUUUAUGAUUCCCGCGUAAUGUAUUUAUAGGCAUGACCCGCGCUAGCUUUGUUCAUGUGAACAGACGAUAUCAGUAGCCCGGGUCAAUGACUUGUCGCGGGGCAGUUGUUUAUCCCGGGAUCAUGUGAACAGGGC
rnacentral:lncRNA from 1 species